rnacentral:rRNA from 1 species
CAGCAGUAGCCACGGGAAUACAGAGGGUGCGAGCGUUAAUCGGAUUUACUGGGCGUAAAGCGUGCGUAGGCGGCUUUUUAAGUCGGAUGUGAAAUCCCUGAGCUUAACUUAGGAAUUGCAUUCGAUACUGGGAAGCUAGAGUAUGGGAGAGGAUGGUAGAAUUCCAGGUGUAGCGGUGAAAUGCGUAGAGAUCUGGAGGAAUACCGAUGGCGAAUGCAGCCAUCUGGCCUAAUACUGACGCUGAGGUACGAAAGCAUGGGGAGCAAACAGGAUUAGAUACCCGCGUAGUCCCUGUCUCUUAUAC